rnacentral:rRNA from 1 species
AACGAACGCUGGCGGCAUGCCUAACACAUGCAAGUCGAACGGAAACUCCCGGCUUUGUGGCGGUCCGCUAGUGGCGAAGGGGGGAGUAACACGUGGGUAACGUGUCCUUGACUGUGGGAUGUCUUCAGAAAGCUUAGUGUAUUACCGCCUAAGAUUUACUGCUGCAUGGUGGGGGUGCGUUGGAUUCGCCGGUUGGUGGGGGACUCGCGGAUUAUGGGCAUGUUGGAGGGGUGGUGGCAUACCAUGGGUUUGACCGGUAGCCGGCCUGAGCGGGUCACCGGCCACAUUGGGACUGAGAUACGGCCCAGACUCCUACGGGAGGCAGCAGUGGGGAAUAUUGCACAAUGGGCAGAAGCCUGAUGCAGCAACGCCGCGUGCGGGAUGACGGCCUUCGGGUUGUAAACCGCUUUCGCCUGUGACGAAGCGUGAGUGACGGUAAUGGGUAAAGAAGCACCGGCUAACUACGUG